rnacentral:rRNA from 1 species
GUAGUCCACGCCGUAAACGAUGGAUACUAGCUGUUGGAAGCAAUUUCAGUGGCUAAGCGAAAGUGAUAAGUAUCCCACCUGGGGAGUACGAACGCAAGUUUGAAACUCAAAGGAAUUGACGGGGGCCCGCACAAGCGGUGGAGCAUGUGGUUUAAUUCGAUGAUACGCGAGGAACCUUACCAGGGCUUAAAUGUGGUCUGACAGGCGUGGAAACAUGCUUUUCUUCGGACAGAUCACAAGGUGCUGCAUGGUUGUCGUCAGCUCGUGCCGUGAGGUGUCAGGUUAAGUCCUAUAACGAGCGCAACCCCUGUUGCUAGUUGCCAGCGAGUCAAGUCGGGAACUCUAGCAAGACUGCCAGUGCAAACUGCGA